AGAGUUGAUCAUGGCUCAGGACGAACGCUAGCGACAGGCUUAACACAUGCAAGUCGAGGGGCAUCACGGGAGUAGCAAUACAACUGGUGGCGACCGGCGCACGGGUGAGUAACGCGUAUGCAACCUACCUAUCAGAGGGGAAUAACCCGGCGAAAGUCGGACUAAUACCGCAUAAAACAGGGGCACCGCAUGGUGAUAUUUGUUAAAGAAAUUCGCUGAUAGAUGGGCAUGCGUUCCAUUAGGUAGUUGGUGAGGUAACGGCUCACCAAGCCGACGAUGGAUAGGGGAACUGAGAGGUUGGUCCCCCACACUGGUACUGAGACACGGACCAGACUCCUACGGGAGGCAGCAGUGAGGAAUAUUGGUCAAUGGGCGGGAGCCUGAACCAGCCAAGUCGCCGUGAAGGAAGAAGGAUCUAUGGUUCGUAAACUUCUUUUGCAGGGGAAUAAAGUGCAGGACGUGUCCUGUUUUGUAUGUACCCUGAGAAUAAGGAUCGGCUAACUCCGUGCCAGCAGCGGC
rnacentral:rRNA from 1 species